CACCCAGGAGGCAGAACCUCUUCGUAGACAGAGCAGGAAGAAUCGACAGGAUCUCCAGGAAUACCGGGAGGAGACAGGGGCCCCACAGCCAGGAGGGCAUCCUCUGUCUCCAGCACCCUGCACAGAGCAGAUGGAAGGAAAGAUGUGUCGGGGAGAAGGCUGGCCUUUGCUGGGCUCCUGCGGUGUGCAGCCGUGUGGGUGAAGAGCACGCGCUCUGUCGCAGCACUGUUGCAGGGCCCAGCAGGAGGCCGGCCUCGGUUCCCCCGGAGUGGGGAGCCGUGGACACGGCUAAGGGGAUCAGCUUUGAGCUGGGGGGAGAGGAGCCCUCGGGGGCAGCAACGGUCAGGAGGGGAACAGCCCCUUGAACUGACUCGCAAGGGGCAGGGGUCUGCUGGUGGUCAUGUGGAGAACAACAGAUUCUGGACAUGCUGGCCGCUCACUGUCCUCCAGUGCUGGAGUCCUGGGCUCUGCAGGUCAGGAGCUGACAAAAGCUGGAUCCAAAUCUGGAAGGUGCCUUCAAGGGCGUGACACCUAACUGGCUGCUAUCCCUGCACCUCCCACGACAGCCUCAUGCUCCGCCGCCCCCGCGAGGAAUUUUAUGGAUGCAAAGAAGGUGGAGACAUGAAAUAAACACUUGGG
rnacentral:lncRNA from 1 species